rnacentral:lncRNA from 1 species
AAGAGGAGCAGUGUAACAGCCCGAUUCCCCGGAGUCCGACCGGGGUUAUCGAAGGGGCGUUAUGGACACGUGUCUACUCAUCUAGACAACCCUACGUGUCCCGUUACUGGUCCCGAGAGACGAGCGCAUAACCUUCUUUGAAAUACCGUCAUACCCACAUCCAUAUACUUCUACUUACAGUCCUGCGCACAGGAAAAAUGGAAAUGGAGGGGUGAGCAACAAGUUACUCAGUGAAGUGGUUCUAGACCAGCCUGCCCGCAUGACACUCUAUACUACUCC